rnacentral:rRNA from 1 species
AGAGUCUGAUCGUUCUUGGGGAGAACCGUCAGCGGCAGACACACCACAGGCAUGUCGGGGGGAAACGAGGAAUUGCUAACAAUCUAAUGACGACCGGCGCACGGGGGAGUAACGGGUUAUACAUUUUGCCUUAUACAGAGGGAUACCCUUUAGAAAUGAAGAUUAAUACCUCAUGGUCUAUUAGAAUCGCAUGGUUUUAAUAGUAAAGAUUUAUCGGUAUAAGAUGAGUAUGCGUUCUAUUAGCUAGUAGGUAAGGUAACGGCUUACCUAGGCGACGAUAGAUAGGGGUCCUGAGAGGGAGAUCCCCCACACUGGUACUGAGACACGGACCAGACUCCUACGGGAGGCAGCAGUGAGGAAUAUUGGGCAAUGGAGGCAACUCUGACCCAGCCAUGCCGCGUGCAGGAAGACGGCCCUAUGGGUUGUAAAUUGCUUUUAUAGAGGAAGAAACCCAAUCACGUGUGAUUGGCUGACGGUACUCUACGAAUAAGCACCGGCUAUACUCCGUGCCGAGCUAGCCGCGGUAAUAAGGGCGA